rnacentral:rRNA from 1 species
AUGGGUGACCCAGGCGGAGAACCGCAGCUGAUUGCCCCCAGCGGUACCCUGCCCGAGGGGGAAAAAGCCAUGAUUGAUGGAUAUCAUCGUUAUGGAUGCAGCUACCCUGAUCUUACUGUCCGUGAAGUUGGAUCAACCAUGAGAACUUCAAAUGAAUGCAAUGCAAUUCCCAGAUAUCAUCAUUAUGGAUGCAGCUACCCUCUUCUUACUGGCUGGGAAGCUGAAUUAACCAUGAGAACUUCAAAUGAAAGCAAUGCAAUUCCCAGGGCAUCUCCCCCGCAGCAACAUAGUUUGAAACAUUGGUGUCAUUUGGGCUUUCGGAAUUUCAGUUUCGCAGCUUUUAUUGGCAUUAUCGCUACCAUCUUUUCAUGGAUGUGCCCAUUAAUUCCUCCAUACGGAAAUCAAAUCUCCAACUCCACUGGAACGUGCGGCGUAUCACCUAGUCUAAGCAAAACACCUACAGGCAAGCAGAGAUACUAUGCCGACUCGGCAUCAACUAUUCACGCCACUGGUAAUCGGAGUCUCAUCUCCAACCUGACAACCGAGAAGGCGGGGGCCCUGAUUAUGACGGCCAAUGUGCACUCUCCUCUUCGAUCACACGGAUGUGGACAUGUAAGCUCUGACGACAUCGUGUUGCCGGAAGUUCACUACGUCCCAGGUUUGGGCAUCAACGUUGUGUCCGUUUCCAAACUUGCAGAGCUGGACUACAUGUUGAUGUUCGUGCACAAAGGAUGCUCCAUCUUUGACACCAGAAGCAAUGAUCUAGUUGGCAAAGGCCGAGCCGUCUCAGGCCUUUUCGAGCUCGAUUAUCUCAGGGUCCCUCUUGACCGGGCACAGGCCUGA